AUUCACUCUGUUUCUUUUAUUUUAUAGAGUAGAAACAUUUCUUGAAUCAGAUGACAACCAGUGACACGGAGUCUUCACCUUGCACACUUGUGUAUGUGUACACUGUCAUCACAUUUUCUUAGUUAGAUUAUGUGCUUUUACAUUCAAUUUAAAUUGUUUCACAACCAUUUAGUUUUGUACUAAUGAACUCCUUAAUUAUAUUGCUUUUAUCUCUUGGUUUUUGGUACUCUUGGUUGCUUUUUAUAGUUAUCAGUUUGCCAAGUGAGUUCAGAAUUCAAACUCAAGCUAUUUCAGUGUACAGCUUUGUUUCAGCCGCCAGUUUUGGAGUUCCAUUAAUCGAGCUGACUACAUGGCCUUGCGCUUGGGCUUCAUUACUAUUGCAGAUUUCUGUCUCUCUCCGAAACUCUUCAUUUCGAAGCCUAUACUCUUGACUAGUUCUAGAACCAAGUGACAGAAAGAUUGGAAAACUGUGUGAAUAUGCUGCAAAAAAUCCUUUAUGUAUAUCCAAGGUACUAUCUGAUUCUUUUGGAGAUUCUCAUAAUAACAAGUUUCCUUCAGUCAUUCUAUGUUAAUUUUUUUAUGGUAAACCCAAUGAAACAUAUAAGUAAUGUACAAAGACACAAUUUGAAU